UACGUAGGUGGCAAGCGUUGUCCGGAUUUACUGGGCGUAAAGAGCGCGCAGGCGGUCGUGCAAGUUGCGUGUGAAAGCCCCCGGCUCAACUGGGGAGGGUCACGCGAUACUGCUCGACUUGAAGGCAGGAGAGGGAAGUGGAAUUCCCGGUGUAGUGGUGAAAUGCGUAGAUAUCGGGAGGAACACCAGUGGCGAAGGCGACUACCUGGCCUGUUUCUUGACGCUGAGGCGCGAAAGCUAGGGGAGCAAACGGG
rnacentral:rRNA from 1 species